ACAGUACAAACUGAGCAGACCGUAACAGUCCGUUAUGGAGUCGGGUCACAUGCGUGACAGUGGAAAUGUUCAUCCACGGGACAGUU
rnacentral:ncRNA from 23 species